GCCCACGAGUUCACCUGGAGGUGAUGCCCGCCUGUCUAGCGGGAAGCGGCGAGUUCGAUCCUCGCCGUGGGCGCCA
rnacentral:tRNA from 1 species